rnacentral:ribozyme from 2 species
CUUUUAAUGCGGCCUAUUGUCGGUCUCAUGCCCGAAGAAAAUGCAGAGAGGAAG